rnacentral:rRNA from 1 species
UACGAAGGGGACUAGCGUUGUUCGGAAUCACUGGGCGUAAAGCGCACGUAGGCGGAUCGAUCAGUCAGGGGUGAAAUCCCAGAGCUCAACUCUGGAACUGCCUUUGAUACUGUCGAUCUGGAGUAUGGAAGAGGUGAGUGGAAUUCCGAGUGUAGAGGUGAAAUUCGUAGAUAUUCGGAGGAACACCAGUGGCGAAGGCGGCUCACUGGUCCAUUACUGACGCUGAGGUGCGAAAGCGUGGGGAGCAAACAGG